UGAAAAGAAAAGAGAAAAGAAAAGAAAAAAAAAGAAAAGGAAAGAAAGGAAGAGAAAUACUGUCCCAUGGGCCAAGCAGUUCUGGUGUGGAGACUCUAGUUGCAGUCUGAUCACCUUCACUCACAGGCUGUGUGAUUAAACCAGGAAAAUUGAUGAUACAUCAUACAGAAAACUCAUGGAGGUCAGACAAUUUGCUUCCCACCUGGCAAGGAUGUAUUGGGACUUCAUGAAGACAAAAGUGAUUUUAGUUUCUCUAUUGGAUGAUGUCUUGAUCCACAGAGCACUUCUUAAGAGUCCUUGUGGGACCCAAGUCUCCAUCGGAAUCCUGUAUCCUGGGAGGCUAAUCUGCAGCACUAAAGAAGUGAAACUGUUCAUUAUUAGGAAGAUUAGUGGCUGAGUUGGAAUUUGGUCUUCUCACUUCAGGCCCCUCACUUUCCAACUGGAUUUGAGCAGAAAUCCUUCUUACCUGCAAAUUUAUCAGAUAACCUUGAGAAACUCUAUUGAGAGACCGCCUUCAUUUCUGCACACAACUUCUGGUUGGCAUGGUCCAGGUAGGACUGGUCCCUUGAAGAGCAGUAUAGGGCUAAGAGCAGAAGAUGGAGGUGAAUACAGGUGUCCACUGGGAGAGAAGAAGCAGCUCUGGAGGAAGCUCAUUCCCUUCAUCCCAGCAUCAGUCCCU